GAACUGCCGGCGGCCGAGCUGGUGUAGCGCUGGCGCCGCCGCCUGCCCCGGGGGGGAACUGCAGCCUGUCCGAGCCAGUUCGCUCAUCAAGGCUUUUCUGGGCUAGAUGCUGGGGAGGUGAGGAGUGAGACACACUGAUGAAGAGGACAGUACAAAGCACUGUGGUGAGUGGGAACUGUGCUAACAGCCUCCCAGAGACCUGUUAACUGCAGGUCUUCUGCUUGCCUGAUAGGGUAUGUCAGUUUCUAGCAAGAGCUUGGAACAACAGAAAAACCAAGGACUACCUCCUAGGGUUCUCCCUCUCCGUCUUUCAUUUUCAACUGUGCUCAAAUAAAUGUUGAAUGUGUCUUUGAAA